rnacentral:rRNA from 1 species
UACGUAGGGUGCAAGCGUUAAUCGGAAUUACUGGGCGUAAAGCGUGCGCAGGCGGUUCGCUAAGCCAGAUGUGAAAUCCCCGGGCUUAACCUGGGAACUGCAUUUGUGACUGGCGGGCUAGAGUAUGGCAGAGGGGGGUAGAAUUCCACGUGUAGCAGUGAAAUGCGUAGAGAUGUGGAGGAAUACCGAUGGCGAAGGCAGCCCCCUGGGCCAAUACUGACGCUCAUGCACGAAAGCGUGGGGAGCAAACAGG